rnacentral:misc_RNA from 1 species
GUGCCACGUCAUGAUGUUUUAAUAAAUUACAGAACAAAAAAUUAAAUAGCUGUGGCAACAAUGCUAUAAAAUCCAGAACUAUGUAAACAGAAAAGGGGCAAUUAUCUGUAAAUGUAACUCUUUAACAAGGAACUUCCAUUUGCUUUCACUGCCAUUUUCAAGUAUUUUGAACAUCCAAAUCCACUGAUGAACAAACUAGGUGCUGGAAGUGCCAUGGCCAGUUACUGCAUUGUCAAUGCAGUACCUUUUUGUCCCAUUCCACAUCAAUGAGAAAACUUUGAGAUUAGCUUGUCAACAUGAAUUAUAAUAUCAUCAAUGCAUGGACGAACUGCAGACUGCGGCUGAAGCAUCCACGUCACAAACUGAUGUAGAGCUUCUGGAUAUGGAGGUUUAGGCCCAGCUGGCCACUUUAUUUGUGC